GGGGCAUACUCGGAGGCCCUGCGGGUUAAGCACCUGGUACUCGGGGACACGUCUCUCCAGUCCUCUUACGCCGGGGGUCCAGGCUUUUGGUGCCGGGUCCGUGGUCGCGCGCCGCCAGCUCGCCCGUCUCCAUCCCCUCGGCGCCAAGUCCAGCUGGGCAAGCGUUGCCAUGGCAGCGCCGCGGGCGGGGAUGCGGGAGGCUGAGCGCGCCGCCGGGCUCGCCCCUUUGUGCAGCGGGGGCGGCCGUGCGCUCCCCCUACUCCCUGCGGCCUCCAGCCUCCCGGUCCCGACCCCUGGGAGCGGGCAGAGGGUAGGGUGUGGGGUUGCAGGGGCGCGGGGAGGCGGGAGGAGGGCCGAGGCGAGGACCAGGGGUGGGGCGCCUCCGCCCGCCAGCCGCUCCCGCAUUAAAAUUUCAUGGGCGCUGCAGCAGCUACAAAGACGACGCCGGCUGCGCUCGAGGGACCAGAGGGAGGGAGGCUGCGGACGAGCGCGGGGAGGAGUUUGCGAUGGGAGGCGCUCGCAAGGGCUCCCCCAGUUCUGCGCUGAUAGCCCGGGCACAAAGAGCCCUCUGCACUCGCGCCGCAGGACCGCCGACCCGAGGAAUUUAAUCAGUUGCCUCGAGACCAUGGAAGCAACUAGAAUAAACGGAUCUGAGAUGGUUUAGCCAUCAUGGGCCAGUUUCUUCUCAGCGAUAGUAAUGCUGACGACCCCAGUGUUUGCGGUUUACACACACCCUCCUCAAGUCUUUUCUCAUGGUAUCCCCACCCCCGCAUUUGAACAUAAGUCUUCUGCCCCUUUGGGGGUCAACAGGCCUGUGCAGAAUCAAAAUGCACCACUCUCCAUCAACGUGAUCUUGGAGCAAGUCACUUAAACCCGAAGCUCAGUUUCCCCAUCUGUAAAAUGGACACAAAAAACCCCAACUCAUCGUUUCAUCAGUGGCCCUGUGCGGUGGGCGUCGCUCUCAUCCCCGUUUCCUGGGUAAGAAGACAGUCCCAGCACAGCGGUGCACGUGCUCACGGUGACAGAGCAGGGAUGGGACUCCAUCCCGGAAAGCCUGCGUCCUUUCCAGCGUCUCGGGAUGCUUGGGUCGGCAUGGGCCCGACCAGGAGACCUCCCGGUUUCCUGUUUUGCUUCCGAUCUGCAUCCGAGGAGCUGAGGCAUCACCCUGCCCACCCAUGUCGUUCCAGACGCCUUCCCGUGGCCGCCAGGACCCUGACAGCAUCAGAGGGAUAGCUGAGGGGACCCUUUCUCUCCUCUGCGCCCCCAGGGACGGCAGACACCAGCUUCAUGCCGUGUGGUCAGAUCCACCACGAAAUCCAUACGUGCAGAGGCCUCCUGAAUCUCAGAGGUCUUUGCUUUUCUGGACAUUUCCUAAAAAUGGAAUCGUGCAGCCUGUGGUCUCUUGUGCCUGGCGUCUUUCGCCCCGUAUGAUAUUUCUGAGGUUCGGCCGUAUCGUAAGUGCGACGAGUUCCUGGGAUGCAGGAGAGAGAAGGGAAUGUCAGGGUUCUUCAGGAUGCCCACAACCACACCGGGGAAACAGCCUUGCAGAUAAGUAUUCAAACUUACCAGCCCCCGGCCGGCCAGCCUGCCCCCCUCCUGGUCUAUGCAGGAGAGUGUGGCAGCCAAGAAUCCCCACGGGAGGGGAGAAACUGGUGACGCAGCUCCUUGGCUUUUCACCUCUUUGCCACAAAGAAAGAGCUUGUCCCCAUUUGAUGGGGCCCCCGAAAGGGUAAUUUUCAUGCCCCGCUUUUGGCCUCAAGGCUUGUAUUUUAUAAAUGCCCCCAUCAGGAACUUCUGAGAGCUGAGUUGAAAGACUUGUCUUGAGGACCUGUAGACGGGUGUCAGAAGGAGGCCCGGGACUCCUGGAGAGUUGGGCUGGCGCUUCUCUUCUCUUCUCAGCUCUAGCCCUUUGCCAUUAUAUUUAUCAAACGUGGCCAGGGCUCCUUUGCCAGGCAGUCAAGAGGGGACCUCAGUGCUGUGCCCUCAGGGCGCAUUCUCAUCAGUGCAGGGGUCUGAGUACAUCUCCGGCUCUGGGCCCGCGCCCCAAGUCCUGGGUGCUGACAGCAAACUCUGAAAAUUCGAGCAGAGAGCCCCAGACUCUCCUGCGGUAGGUCUGCCACUCAACAAGGAUAGCUUUGCUGUCCCCAAAAGCAAUACCUGGGGGAUGGUUCUGGGUCAGGAUUAGUGGGCAAUUGGAGGAGGGUGGGAGGGGGCAGAAAAAUAACCGGCUGAGCACAGGGCUCCUCCUGUUUUGCAUCCACUGCCUCCAAGUAUGGGUUACUAUUGCGCACUUUGAGUGCACGGGUCCCACGGCUCAGAGAGAGGCACAGACUUCCAAGGGCUGCACAGUACGGCAGAGCUGGAACCAGGACUCUGGAUUCCUGACUCUGUUCAGCUGAGUCUGUCUUUACUUUCUCCUGGGUCACAUUCUGCUGAUGUUGGGAGGAGGCAAGUGGGUGCAGGGUGCCCCUUCCUCACUCCAGGACCGUCUGGGUUGGGAGGAAGGGAGGUGAAGGGUGUGUGCCUAGGCCCAGCCCCCCUGGCUCCCGGGCCGCCUUCUUGCUGCCAGAGAAAUCUGGCCAGGCCCGGGCUGGGGAGGGGGCCUGGGCGCGGUUUUCUCCUGGGGCGUGGCUGGCUCUUGUAUUCCAGGAUGGGCCUUGGGGGCUGCGUGGGGAAGGAGCUGGGAGCGGGGCCUGGGCUGCCAACGCCAUGGCCGGGCACUGCCAGAAACACAGCCCAAGCACCUUCUCCCAGCUCGAUGCUGAGGAUCCAGAGGUGAACACCAGAGAUGUGGUUCCGCCCUCUCUGAUCUUCAGGCCACUCUGCCCCAGCUGUGUCUCCAAGACUCUUGGCCUGGUCUUCUCUUUGGAGCCCGGGCGACUCUGGACUCCAGCCACGAGGACACACGGAGGAACCUUCGGUGCUUUUCUGGAGCCCUCAACAAUUCCCCGAAGACCUUAUCCUUUCCAGCUCCCGGGAUGAAGCCUCCUGUGGAUAGAGGCCCCCUCCUGGCUGGAGCUCAGCCAAGCACAGGGCCUGGCUGUGGGGGACGGCUCGAGGGGUGUGACGGAGGCUGGCCACCCACCGUCCCCUCUGCACCCACCAUGACCCACCUGCUGGGCCUGCCUGUCCGGGCCCGGAGACCCUUCCUGACCCCGUGUGGACUUCAUUCCUCCCGGCAUCCCUGCUCACGACCAGACAGAGCUCGGCCCGAACCCCACUGACCACCCCGUCCCCAAGGCCGGGUCUCAAAGGACCCUCCAGGACGGACGCAGGAAAGCAGGCUGGGAAUCCGGAGGAGCUGCCAGGGGUUGGGGGUGGGGGGGGCGUCGCAGCUCGGGGGUGCUGUGGGCUGGAGUCUCAUGUGCUGUUUGUCAUGUGAGCGAUUCUUAUUUUGGGGGGUGCCUUUUGGAUGGGGCUUCUCUGUGCUUCUCCUCUUCCUGAUGGUCACAGGGAGGAGGCAGGCAGGGUCGGGGGAGCGGGGGCCUUCCUCCGUGUCGCCGAGCUCUGGGAGGGGCAGCUGGAGGGGAGAGGGUGUGCCGCCUUGAAGGGGGAGAGUUUCCUAGAGAUGAGGGGACCUAGGCCAGGGGAGGUCGCCAGAAGGAGACAGACACUGGGCUUUGUUCCCACCGUCCAAAGAGAAUGGGCUAGAACCCCCCUGGCCCCAAGGCUUGAGGGGUCCCCCCAGCCUGAUGUCAGCCCCCUGCUCCUUGUUGCACCAAUCUCCAAUUGUGUCCUUGGGCAGCAAAGGCAGGCAGGCGGGCCCAGCCACAUGCAGCCUCCCCAUCACACGGCUGCAGACUCACUUCCGGCCCCUUCCGGGUCUCCCCUUAGGCCAAUCCCUCCAGGGGGCCGGUCCCAGUGCUUGUCCUGGAGCAGCCUCAGCCUUUCUUCAAAGCCCCUCAUCAUUUUCCUGGCAGGGGAGGGGGCCUGCAUGAGUCGGCUUGGCUGCCAUCACAGAAUACCCCAGACCGGGGGGCUUCAAAAGCAGAAAGGCAUUUUCUUGCAGUUCUGGAGGCUGGAGGUCCAUGAUCAAGAUGCCAGGGGUGGUUUCCGCUGAGGCCUCUCUCCUUGGCUGCAGGUGGCACCUUCCUACCGUGUCCUCACAUGGCCCCUUCUCUGUGCACACGCGCGGCGGGAGAGAGAGAGCACUGAUGUCUGUUCUUAUAAGGGCGCCAGUCCCAUCAGAUCAGGGCCCCGCCCUUAUGACCUCAUUUAGCCUUACUACCUCCUUAAAAGCCCUGUGUCCAAAUACAGCCACGUGGGGGUUACAGCUUCAACCUAUGAAUUUAGCCCGGAUGGGGUGCGUGAGGGGGGGGGGGGGGACGACACAAUGCAGUUCGCAACCCGUGCUCCCCACAAACCUGGAGCCAUCUCCCCUUCAGAGUCCCCACCCCCCACAGGGAGGGGAAGGAGGAGCAGAGUGAGGGAGGUACUGUGCUCAGGUGGCCCCAGGAGCCUUGGGAACACAGGGAACUGGCUGGACCCAGUGCAGCGAGGGGGCGUCCGCAGGAGAGGGAUGCCCUGGGAAGGGCCCGGGCACAGGGUCCCGAGGGCACGCUCUCUGCUGUUCAAUCUUGGGCAAGUCGCCUCACCUCUCUGAGUCCGAUUGAUUUCCAUUCUUGAAACAGGGGCCCUCUGCUCGCCGGGGUGGGGGGGGGGUGGUGCGCAGGGAGGUUCCCUCGAAAUCCCCUGCACGUCCAGUGCCUCGCUCUUAGUCGGUCCUCGGGAGGCACCCCCAUCCGUCCGGGAGUCCAGACUUAGAGCAUAUCUGGUCCAGGCGCUCUGACUGUGGACUCAGCAUCCCCGACCCAGAGGUGCUUCUGACGGCUCUUCCCCGGCCCGUUUUCUCAGCAUCCCUCUCUAACCAGCUUGGCGAAGUGGCUGCAUUUCAUGGCCUCCAUAGUAGCUCAAAGUGCUUCCUGGGGUAUUUCAAUUCUACCCUUCUCAUCAGAAUGGAGCACUUACCGUGGGUCCUUCCCUGUGUUAGGCCUUUUGAGGGAACACAGGGGACAAUCUGGCCAUCCCACGCGGGAGACAACCAGCUCACAUGGAGAAUUGGACAAUGGGGCAUAAAACGGUCCACUGAGGCACAGGUUCGGAGUGUUUAGGGGCUGGGAGUAAGAUCCCAGUGCGGGCUGCAGCAGGCUGGACAGGCUUCCCAGCGAGGCAGAACCAAGCAGGGCCACGAAGGAUGAGAAAGAUGUGGCUUAGCUGAGAGCUUCUAGGGGGAAAUUAGAGCAGAGAGUCCCAUAACACAUUCUAGGAGAUGUCACUGCUCUUUAAAAAAAAAAACGUGACUUGAAAUUCAGCAAGUUUCUGUAGUGCAGGACUUAUCAGAGCCUUUAAAAUACUAAUGGAGAUCUUGAAUACUCAAGGACAGACAGAGGAUGAAGUGUUCCCCCCAGACUUUACUGGCAACAGAACACUCUUCUUAUAGAGCAUCAUUUAGAAGUGUGGGAGAUGCCAGGCUGGGGUUUCCGUGGGAACACCACAGCAGUGAUAGGAGAUGACAUAUCUAGGGCAUGCUCAGGUGCUUGGCGGCAUCAGCUGGGAAGGCUGAAGACCAGGAGGGACCGGGGAGUCCUGGUGUCAGGAGUCAGGAGAGCUCUCUGCAGUUUCAUAUGCGGGAAGGGCAGGCCCAUGGUCGGAGUAGCCAGAGGCUGGCAGUUGUCGAUGGAAGACAUGCCCACCAGACACGGUGGUUCUGGGGCGUCAGACCUUUCGUGGGAAGAUGCUGGUGCGUGCACGUGUGCGUGUGGGAGUGUGUGCUGAGCGUGACAGGAUCCAGCCUUCUGGGAAGGGGCUGACCAGACCCAGGCAGGGGGUUUCCAGCCAGGACAAGGAGGACCUAUUUUUAGGGGAACUGAAGUGUCUGGGGGGAGGCCCUUGAGGCCUACCGCCAAGAAAUGGGGAAGGAAACGCUUUCGGGCAGGAUCCAUGUGGGUAGGCUUGAUUCUGGUAGGGGUGAGGGGUUUGGAGGCAGACCCCUGCCUGGGCAGUGUUGCAUGGUGGGGUUAACCUACUAACCCAGGGCUCGGCCGGGACGCUGUGGCGAGUGAUGAGGUGCCUGGCCUUCUGCCAACCAACUAACCCACUAACCAGGCCGGAGCAUGCCCUACUAACCCCCCGCAGCCAGACCCUACUAACCUUGGAGCUCAUGGGCCUUUCAGGGGGCUGGGACGUGGGGGCAGACGAGGCUCCGGAAGGCCCUGCCUGUGGCCUGGGAUCUCUGUGCAGACCCGCAUUCCAGGACAGGGCAUGCAAACAGGACUCGCCACCAACCCUGCCACUUUGUGCUGGGCGACUUUGGGCAAGUGCCCUCACCUCUCUGAACCCCAGUUUCCUCAGAUGGGAGGACUGAUCCUUCCUUCACAGAUUGCAGUGGGAUUCCCGUGAAUAUAAAGGUCUUGGCACAUGGCAGGUAAUUAAAAAAAAAUAUAAGGGUGGGCAUGGGAGGCCCAGAAAACCUGGUUGAUCACGUCCCCUGCCUAGGCCCUGGUCCCUCUGGGUGUUCUGCACACAGACCCUUCUGCCUGGGGCCAGACUCUCGCUUGGAACCCCUAACCGUCUCUUCCCCCCAUUCUUCCUCCUCCUCAGCUUUCUUCUCCGUAGGCAGCUCUUUUGUUCGGUUACUAACCCGUCUAACCCGGGGGUGCCCAGCGGCGCCCCGAUCAUCCUUUAACAAACUAACAGACCUGCGUGUGCUCUUCCUUCUCUCCUAGUGACUCCCGCGUGUGUCUGCUGAGGUGCCCUGUCCGCUGGUGUGUGCUCUGACUUACUAACCCAGCCUCUACUAAUCCUGUUUUCUCUUCCUACUAACCCCAGCCCUGCCGAGCUCUGGGCCCUCCCGGGGGCUGGUCCGGCUCCUUUUGGCAAGCAGAUGUCCGGGGGCGGGCCCUGCAGACAGACACCCCAAUUGGCUGCUUGGGAAUCCACUGGGCCAGGUCUGGGGCAGGGGACUGCCCUAGGAACCCCGCCGGUGGCCCAGAGGAGGAGGCGGUCAUGCGGAGGUGGGGGCCGCCUGCCGGCAUGAGCAUCUCUCCUCUGUGCACAAGUCUGGUUGCCACUGGGAGCGGGAGGGACCAGGGAAACCUCUGGGGCGUGAGUGUGGAGGCCUGCGGGGCUGGAGGUGGAGCACUGGGCUUUUCCGCCCUGGGGCAGAGAGGGGGCCUGGGUGUCCUUCUUGGGAGGGAAGCGUGGGCAGAAUUUUCUCUGCUGCAAAGUGAUGGGCAGACCCAAGGUCCUGCACAGGAAGCCAGUGGGGGGCGUGUCCUAGACAGGAAGCCAGGAGAGGGGCGUGUCCUUCAAGGAAGUCAGGAAGGGGCGUGGCCCACACCGGAAGACAGGGGAAGGGGCGUGUCCUGCACAGGAAAUCAGCAAAGGGGCGUGUCCCACACCGGAAGUCAGUGAGGUGAGACUUCCAUACAUUGGAGGUCAAUGAAAGGGUCUUUCUCACGCUGGAAAUUACCAACUGGAGCAUUUAGCCCAGGAAAUCAGAAAGAGGGGGCAGUUCCCAUAUUUGAAGGGUGGAAAGAGGGGCAUUUCUUACCGACGUCAGUGAGAGGGGAGUUUCUGGCCCCACCCCAGGGCGUGAGAAGGCGUGGCCGAGAGAUCAGUGAGAGGGGCCUUUCCGACCACCGGAAGUUGGCUAGAGGGGCCCUUCCCCCCCACGCCUGAAGCGGAUGUGGGCCAUUUUUUCACACCGGAAGUCACUGACAAGGACUGUCACAUACCAGGAAGCUUGGGCAAGCAGUGGGGACAGAUGAUCCGCCCUGGGUCUGGGGUUGCGGGAGGAGCCGAUGGGACGCAGGAAGUGAACCCCCGUGGGCCCGCAGGAAUCGCAGCCAGGACCUCAGCCCGGCUCCCUGUCUGUCCCACCCACACCCCUGCUCCAGCCGUCUCCCCCAGAGCCCGCCAGCCGCUGAGCCGGGGCCACACCUGGGGGUGAUGUGCUGCCUCACCUCCAGUAGGCACCUUGGUCUCUGAGCUACUCGCUCCCUGGCGCCCUCGCACUAACUCUUGCUCUCCCCCAGCUAACCCCUGCCUCGCCCUGGCUGCCCCGGGGGCUGCCCCUAACAGCCGACCCCGCCCGCCUGGGAGUCCCAGGCUCCCGGCCUGACUCCCUCCGAGCGGCUCGUAAUUAACCUGUCCUUCACCUCCACUAACGCCUGCCCUCCUGGUCUGUUCCUUCCAGCAGAAACUAAUGGCUUGUGGAUUUCUUUCUGACUAACAACAGGUCUAACACUCCUCGUCACUAUUACUAUUAACAGCUUGGAUGUCGGCAUGGCUGGGACGGGGCUAACACAGGGAGAGGUGUAGCUGGUCGCGACGGAUGUGGUCCUCUAAAGGUGGUGCGGGGGUGGGGCGUGGCCGGGGCUGAGGGAGGAGUGGUACCCACCCAUGUGGGGUUAGAAGCAUAGUCACUUUCCAAGGUUUUUGCCACUGGAUAUAUCCUGUCAACCCCUCAUAAUCCGCAUUUGGGUUUUGGUUCUUGUAAACAAUAGCCUUAUAGCUGCAGUGGUCCAAACGAGUGGAUGCAGCCCUUGCAGCCCUCAAACGCCUGUCUGGUGUGUACAGAGAAUAGGCCAUUAUGUAUGGAAGAAUCAGUCACCAGCCCAGGGCAUAGAGUCAUUGAUCUGGGGACUUUGGAGUUUUGAAAGCCCUAGGACAUAAAGUUUUAGAUCAGAAUAUUCAGAAGGGUUAUAAAUCCAUCGCCCAUUUACACCUUAGUGUAAAUUAGCUCAGCUUCCUCUUUUAUCUUCCAUGCAAUUUUAGCUGCCCUGACAGAUGAGAGUUUGGCUGGAAGGGAGUUUGGCUCUCUUCGGGCAUGGGGGAGGUCCUUUGGGAGCAGAGAUGGGGAGCCACGGGGCCAGGGUUCCUGGGUGGCGAUGAAAGGUGGCAUCAGGUUGGGGGUGGGGUGGGAAGAGGGACCCGUUUUUCUGGCUCAGUCAGGAUCUGUGGGAGAGGACAGCUCGUGGCAGGGCCUGGAGGAUUGGAACAGCUCAGGGACAGGGUCAGAGGCCAGCCUGGGGGUCCUGCAGGCAGUUUGCUACGGUUCUUGAAUGCUGAUCUGGGGCGGAGAGGCUCUCUGAUUGCCAUGGGCUCAGAGCUGACCGGGUGGAGCUGGCAGCGAGGCCUGAAAGGUGAGGCAGGGAGGCUGAGCUGCAAAGGGAACCAGAGAGGAGAACGCUGCAGGCAGAGCUGCGGGAGGUGCGCUGGCUGCUGGCAGGGACCCGGAUGCGGCAGCGCCUGCCCUGGGGAAGCCCCUCUUCCCGCCCUCUAGUGGCCACUGGUCGCAUUUCACGCAAAGCAGGAAGCUCAGACGCUGCCCUCUCCGGGAGCUCCUCUUUAUUCGACGACCAAGAUUCGAUGCUGCUGAGGACCUACUGUGUGCCCAGCACUGCUCUGGGUGCAAAGACCCACACUUGGGUUUUUCCAUCAUGGUGCUUAUACAGCUCCGUGGGGGAGAUGGAGAAGUAAACAGAUAAUGCAGCGCGAUGGGUGCCGUGAUGGGGGGUCGGGCUGUGGGAGCACCUGGGAGACAGCGAAGGGUGACACGCACCUGCUCUGAGCCAGGCGCAGUGCUGAGUGGUGAUGAAACAGCGUCUGGACUUCAGGAGCCUCAAUGGUAGCGUGUCGGGUGGGCGUGGGGUAUAAAGUGUGGUGCAGGCAGGCAGCGUAGACAUUCUGAGGAGGGAGACAUCGAAGCCGAGCCCUGGCUGGGGCGUCCGUGCUGGGGAUGAGUUCCAGGCAGCGGGAAUGGUGGACACAGAGUUCUGGGGAUCAGAGAGGAUCGGAGAGAUUCUGGAAGGUUCGUGCAGAAUGCAGCAGGAGACAGACGGGAAGUGGACAAGUCCCAGGCUGGGGGCCGUGGAUGUGAUCUGAGAAGGGGAGAUGUUGGAUUUGAGUUUUAGCUGACAGUAUGGCUCUUUCAGCCCAGGUGAAAGUCUGAGGUGCUUACAACGAGUUCUGGUUAAAUUUUGGUUAACCGGCUAGAACUUCUUGAAACAAGCAGGGCCCUUAGGUUCAUCUUGAGAUGAACAGGAGCCACAGAUGCUCGCCCAGGUGGAAGUAGGUCUGCAGUGACGGGGACACAAAGAGGGCUGUGUUCCUGCGGGGCAGGGGCUUGGCGGAGGUGCCAGUGACGUCUUGGAAGAGGAGCCGUCUCGAAAGCAUGUCACCCCGGGCCCUGGUGGGACGCGGCUCCCGGAGGCGAUCCGAGGGGCUGUGGCCCAGGGCUGGAAGUCUGCAGGAGAAUCCCAUUGGAGAGGGAGCCCAGUUGUCUUGUGUGGCCGCGAGGGGGACACACAGGUGUGGAGUAAGCUUCCGCUGGGCUGAUCCUGGUCGCAGGGCGGGGCUAUGUCUUGGUGGGGAACGAGUCUGAGUCCCUGUGGGCAGAAGGAUUGGGGUGGGGCCACCUUUGAGAUGACGGUGGCGAGAGUCUAGGAUCCUGUGUGUGAGUGUGCGGGUGUGUGAGUGUGGGUCCUCGAGUUAAUACCUGUGGAAGCUGAGCCCGAGCAGGCCCACCCUGCCCAGCCUGGCCGCGCCUGCCGAUGUUCACUCUGGCCUUCAGUCCCCUGAGCAUCAAGCUCACUGGGAGCAGGGCCCAUGAGCUGGCGAACUGACCUCCCAGCCUGAAGAUGUAUCUCCAUCUUUUCUUAAUAGGCUGUGUAGAGGGGGUGGCCCCUGUGGUCUUGCCUGGUUGCGGUGUGGGGCACAUGGUGACACACAGCUGGGGGAUGCCAGUGGGAGGGGCGGUCCCAUCCCAACACAGGACCCCCAUGGCCCUCUUGAGAGUCUGUUCGGGGACCCGUUGUUUUAUUCUAACAGACCAGAGAAUAUAUUUUCCAUGUCAUUGCCUCCCGGGGAGGCCGAAUGUGGGGACAGAAAUUCUGCUGUAGAUUAAAAAUCAGAUUUUUCCAUGGAUCCAGCAAUGGCGUGUGGACUUGGCUUUUCAUUUUCACCCAAAGUGUAGCUCCUUUAGUUUAAGAUGCCGUUUUGAGGUUAAAAAGCAAUUCAUACCCAAGGGAUGGCUGUGGACUGGGAGACAGAUGGGAUGUGUGGUUUGUGGGAUGAAGGGAGCCAGUGGCAUUUUCAAGGAGCAGGAGCAGGCUCUGUCAGCCUUUUCUUAGGACCGUGACUUUAGAGGUCAAUAUAAGAGGGUAUUUAUUUAUUUUUUAUUUUAUUUAUUUAUUUAUUCUUUUGUGAGGAAGAUUGUCACUGAGCUAACAUCUGUGCCAAUCCUUCUCUAUUUUGUAUGUGGGACGCCGCCACAGCAUGGCUUAAUGAGCAGUGUGUAGGUCCACACGCGGGAUCUGAACUGGCGAACCCCAGGCCGCUGAAGCAGAGUGUGUGAACUUAACCACUACACCCCCGGGCUGGCCCCUAUUUUUAUUUUUAAUUGUGGGAAAAUACACAUAAUAAAAUGUACCAUCUUAACCAUUUUUACGUGUACAGUUCAGUGGUAUUAAGUACAUUCACAUUGUUGUGUAAUCAUUACCACUAUUGGUAUAUUUUUUAAUAGCACUACUUUGUGCCUAGGAC
ensembl:lncRNA